rnacentral:rRNA from 1 species
AGAGUUUGAUCAUGGCUCAGAACGAACGCUGGCGGCGUGGAUAAGACAUGCAAGUCGAGCGCUGAUUACAGGGUAGCAAUAUUCUGUGGUCGGAGCGGCGCAAGGGUGCGUAACACGUGGGUAAUCUGCCAUGAAGUUUGGGAUAACUUGCUGAAAGGCGAGCUAAUACCGGAUGUGACAAUUAGGAGGCAUCUUCCGAUUGUCAAAGCUGGGGACCGUAAGGCCUGGCGCUUCAUGAUGAGCCCGCGGCCUAUCAGCUAGUUGGUGAGGUAACGGCUCACCAAGGCUAAGACGGGUAGCUGGUCUGAGAGGACGACCAGCCACACUGGAACUGAGACACGGUCCAGACACCUACGGGUGGCAGCAGUCGAGAAUUUUUCACAAUGGGCGCAAGCCUGAUGGAGCGACGCCGCGUGGGGGAUGAAUGGCUUCGGCCCGUAAACCCCUGUCAUUUGCGAACAAAUUGGUUCAAUUAACACCUGAACCAUUGAUAGUAGCGAAAGAGGAAGGGACGGCUAACUCUGUGCCAGCAGCCGCGGUAAUACAGAGGUCCCAAGCGUUGUUCGGAUUCACUGGGCGUAAAGGGUGCGUAGGUGGUGAGGUAAGUCGGAUGUGAAAGCUCGGAGCUCAACUCCGAAAUGGCAUUGGAAACUACCUUGCUAGAGGGUUGGAGGGGGGACUGGAAUGCUUGGUGUAGCAGUGAAAUGCGUAGAUAUCAAGCGGAACACCAGUGGCGAAGGCGAGUCCCUGGACAACUCCUGACACUGAGGCACGAAAGCUAGGGGAGCAAACAGGAUUAGAUACCCUAGUAGUCC